rnacentral:tRNA from 1 species
ACCUUCGUGGUAUAGUGGUCAGCACGCUCGACGCGUAUUCGAGAGGUCCGUGGUUCGAGUCCCGGCGAGGGCA